GUCGGAUGAGUGAGAUAUGACCUUUUGAAGUUAGGCUGUCCAGUUAAGGAAAGUUAGCCGGAAAUAGUAAAGGGUAUUUUGGUCUUUUCCUUACCCAAUCAGAUUUAAUUCAUUUUUAGUAAGGUUUUAAGGGUCUAAUCCUAUUAGGUUCAGAUUUAUAAUCCUAAAAUUAGCCUAGGGUUUUAGUUGAGAGUUCAAGAAGAGAAAAGAAGAAGAGAG
rnacentral:lncRNA from 1 species